UACGAAGGGGGCAAGCGUUGUUCGGAAUUACUGGGCGUAAAGCGCACGUAGGCGGCUUUGUAAGUUAGAGGUGAAAGCCCAGGGCUUAACCCUGGAAUUGCCUUUAAGACUGCAUCGCUAGAAUCGUGGAGAGGUGAGUGGAAUUCCGAGUGUAGAGGUGAAAUUCGUAGAUAUUCGGAAGAACACCAGUGGCGAAGGCGACUCACUGGACACGUAUUGACGCUGAGGUGCGAAAGCGUGGGGAGCAAACAGG
rnacentral:rRNA from 1 species